AUUGAACGCUGGCGGCAGGCUUAACACAUGCAAGUCGAGCGGGGUGAUGGUGCUUGCACUAUCACUUAGCGGCGGACGGGUGAGUAAUGCUUAGGAAUCUGCCUAUUAGUGGGGGACAACAUCUCGAAAGGGAUGCUAAUACCGCAUACGUCCUACGGGAGAAAGCAGGGGAUCACUUGUGACCUUGCGCUAAUAGAUGAGCCUAAGUCGGAUUAGCUAGUUGGUGGGGUAAAGGCCUACCAAGGCGACGAUCUGUAGCGGGUCUGAGAGGAUGAUCCGCCAAACUGGGACUGGGACCCGGCCCAGACUCCUACGGGAGGUAGCAGUGGGGAAUAUUGGACAAUGGGGGGAACCCUGAUCCAGCCAUGCCGCGUGUGUGAAGAAGGCCUUAUGGUUGUAAAGCACUUUAAGCGAGGAGGAGGCUCUUUUGGUUAAUACCCAAGAUGAGUGGACGUUACUCGCAGAAUAAGCACCGGCUAACUCUGUGCCAGCCGCCGCGGUAA
rnacentral:rRNA from 1 species